rnacentral:rRNA from 1 species
UGGGGAAUAUUGCGCAAUGGGCGAAAGCCUGACGCAGCAACGCCGCGUGGGGGAUGAAGGCCUUCGGGUUGUAAACCCCUUUCAGCAGGGACGAAAAUGACGGUACCUGCAGAAGAAGCCCCGGCCAACUACGUGCCAGCAGCCGCGGUAACACGUAGGGGGCAAGCGUUGUCCGGAUUUAUUGGGCGUAAAGAGCUCGUAGGCGGUUGCGUAAGUCGGAUGUGAAAACUCAGGGCUCAACCCGGAGACGCCAUCCGAUACUGCGCUGACUAGAGUCCGGUAGAGGAGCAUGGAAUUCCUGGUGUAGCGGUGAAAUGCGCAGAUAUCAGGAGGAACACCAGUGGCGAAGGCGGUGCUCUGGGCCGGAACUGACGCUGAGGAGCGAAAGCGUGGGUAGCGAACAGGAUUAGAUACCCCCGUAGUCC